UACAGAGGUCCCAAGCGUUGUUCGGAUUCACUGGGCGUAAAGGGUGCGUAGGUGGCGGGGUAAGUUCGGUGUGAAAGCUUCGAGCUCAACUCGGAAAUGGCAUUGAAUACUAUCCUGCUUGAGGGUCGGAGGGGAGACUGGAAUUCUCGGUGUAGCAGUGAAAUGCGUAGAUAUCGAGAGGAACACCAGUGGCGAAGGCGAGUCUCUGGACGACUCCUGACACUGAGGCACGAAAGCUAGGGGAGCAAACAGG
rnacentral:rRNA from 1 species